GACGAACGCUGGCGGCGUGCUUAACACAUGCGAGUCGAACGGUAAGGCCUUUCGGGGUACACGAGUGGCGAACGGGUGAGUAACACGUGGGUGAUCUGCCCUGCACUUCGGGAUAAGCCCGGGAAACUGGGUCUAAUACCGGAUAGGACUGCGCGGUGCAUGCCGUGUGGUGGAAAGAUUUAUCGGUGCAGGAUGGGCCCGCGGCCUAUCAGCUUGUUGGUGGGGUAAUGGCCUACCAAGGCGACGACGGGUAGCCGGCCUGAGAGGGCGACCGGCCACACUGGGACUGAGACACGGCCCAGACUCCUACGGGAGGCAGCAGUGGGGAAUAUUGCACAAUGGGCGCAAGCCUGAUGCAGCGACGCCGCGUGAGGGAUGACGGCCUUCGGGUUGUAAACCUCUUUCAGCAGGGACGAAGCGUGAGUGACGGUACCUGCAGAAGAAGCACCGGCCAACUACGUG
rnacentral:rRNA from 1 species